GAGAAUCUUUCGCAAUGGGGGAAACCCUGACGACGCGACGCCGCGUGGAGGAUGAAGGCCUUCGGGUUGUAAACUCCUGUCAGGGGUGAAGAAACUUCGCAAGAAGCUGACGGUAACCCCAGAGGAAGCCCCGGCUAACUACGUGCCAGCAGCCGCGGUAAUACGUAGGGGGCAAGCGUUGCUCGGAAUUACUGGGCGUAAAGGGUGUGUAGGUGGCUGAUUAAGUUAAGGAUGAAAUCCCGAGGCUCAACUUCGGAACUGUCCUUGAUACUGGUCAGCUUGAGGCUAGUAAAGGAGAGCGGAAUUCCCGGCGUAGCGGUGAAAUGCGUAGAUAUCGGGAGGAACACCAGAGGCGUAGGCGGUUCUCUAGGCUAGUCCUGACACUGAGACACGAAAGCUAGGGGAGCAAACG
rnacentral:rRNA from 1 species